rnacentral:rRNA from 1 species
GAUGAACGCUGGCGGCGUGCCUAAUACAUGCAAGUCGAACGCUGAUUAUCGAAAGCUUGCUUUUGAUAUGAUGAGUGGCGGACGGGUGAGUAACACGUGGGUAACCUGCCCUAAAGUGGGGGAUAACAUUUGGAAACAGAUGCUAAUACCGCAUAAACCUCAAAAGCACAUGCUUUUGAGUUGAAAGAUGGCGUAAGCUAUCGCUUUUGGAUGGACCCGCGGCGUAUUAGCUAGUUGGAGAGGUAAAGGCUCACCAAGGCUGUGAUACGUAGCCGACCUGAGAGGGUAAUCGGCCACAUUGGGACUGAGACACGGCCCAAACUCCUACGGGAGGCAGCAGUAGGGAAUCUUCCACAAUGGACGAAAGUCUGAUGGAGCAACGCCGCGUGAGUGAAGAAGGUUUUCGGAUCGUAAAACUCUGUUGUUGGAGAAGAACGUACGUGAGAGUAACUGUUCACGUAGUGACGGUAUCCAACCAGAAAGCCACGGCUAACUACGUGCCAGCAGCCGCCGUAAAAC